rnacentral:rRNA from 1 species
UAGAGUUUGAUCCUGGCUCAGAUUGAACGCUGGCGGCAGGCCUAACACAUGCAAGUCGAGCGGAUGACGGGAGCUUGCUCCUUGAUUCAGCGGCGGACGGGUGAGUAAUGCCUAGGAAUCUGCCUGGUAGUGGGGGACAACGUUCCGAAAGGGGCGCUAAUACCGCAUACGUCCUACGGGAGAAAGUGGGGGAUCUUCGGACCUCACGCUAUCAGAUGAGCCUAGGUCGGAUUAGCUAGUUGGUGAGGUAAUGGCUCACCAAGGCGACGAUCCGUAACUGGUCUGAGAGGAUGAUCAGUCACACUGGAACUGAGACACGGUCCAGACUCCUACGGGAGGCAGCAGUGGGGAAUAUUGGACAAUGGGCGAAAGCCUGAUCCAGCCAUGCCGCGUGUGUGAAGAAGGUCCUCGGAUUGUAAAGCACUUUAAGUUGGGAGGAAGGGCAGUAAGUUAAUACCUUGCUGUUUUGACGUUACCGACAGAAUAAGCACCGGCUAACUCUGUGCCAGCAGCCGCGGUAAUACAGAGGGUGCAAGCGUUAAUCGGAAUUACUGGGCGUAAAGCGCGCGUAGGUGGUUCGUUAAGUUGGAUGUGAAAGCCCCGGGCUCAACCUGGGAACUGCAUCCAAAACUGGCGAGCUAGAGUAUGGUAGAGGGUGGGUGGGAAUU